rnacentral:misc_RNA from 1 species
GUGAAUCAUCAAAUUUUUGAACGCAAAUUGCACUCUCUGGUAUUCCGGAGAGUAUGCCUGUUUGAGGGUCAGUUUAAAUAAAAAUCGGUGUGUGUUCUUCCUUUCGUGGUUACGCACCGGUUUUGGGUCGUCUUGCCUUCGGUUAAGUGACCUAAUAUUUUGCAUGAUUUUUUUCGAACGUAUUGAAAUAGUUUUCGUAACGUUGCAAUAUCGAAAUAUAGGUUUGGU